UGGUGAUGGAACUCGCUUCCUGAGCUGACGACAGCCGCAGAAACCAGGCCGCUGCAACUGUUUAUUAAAAACAUAGCACUCUGCAAACACGAAAGUGGACGUAUAGGGUGUGAUGCCUGCCCGGUGCUGGAAGGUUAAUUGAUGGGGUUAGCGUAAGCGAAGCUCUUGAUCGAAGCCCCAGUAAACGGCGGCCGUAACUAUAACGGUCCUAAGGUAGCGAAAUUCCUUGUCGGGUAAGUUCCGACCUGCACGAAUGGCAUAAUGAUGGCGGCGCUGUCUCCAGCAGAGGCUCAGUGAAAUCGAAAUCGCUGUGAAGAUGCAGUGUACCCGCGGCUAGACGGAAAGACCCCGUGAACCUUUACUGCAGCUUGACACUGAACUUUGACCUUACUUGUGUAGGAUAGGUGGGAGGCUUUGAAGCUGGAACGCUAGUUCCAGUGGAGCCGUCCUUGAAAUACCACCCUGGUAAUGUUGAGGUUCUAACUCUGUCCCGUGAUCCGGGACGAGGACCGUGUCUGGUGGGUAGUUUGACUGGGGCGGUCUCCUCCUAAAGAGUAACGGAGGAGUACGAAGGUGCGCUCAGCGUGGUCGGAAAUCACGCGUAGAGUAUAAAGGCAAAAGCGCGCUUAACUGCGAGACCCACAAGUCGAGCAGGUACGAAAGUAGGUCUUAGUGAUCCGGUGGUUCUGUAUGGAAGGGCCAUCGCUCAACGGAUAAAAGGUACUCUGGGGAUAACAGGCUGAUACCGCCCAAGAGUUCAUAUCGACGGCGGUGUUUGGCACCUCGAUGUCGGCUCAUCUCAUCCUGGGGCUGAAGCAGGUCCCAAGGGUAUGGCUGUUCGCCAUUUAAAGAGGUACGCGAGCUGGGUUUAGAACGUCGUGAGACAGUUCGGUCCCUAUCUACCGUGGGCGCUGGAAAUUUGAGAGGAUCUGCUCCUAGUACGAGAGGACCAGAGUGGACGAACCUCUGGUGUACCGGUUGUGACGCCAGUCGCAUCGCCGGGUAGCUAUGUUCGGAAGGGAUAACCGCUGAAAGCAUCUAAGCGGGAAGCCUACCUCAAGAUAAGAUUUCCCUAGGACUUUAUGUCCUCUAAAGAGCCGUUCGAGACUAGGACGUUGAUAGGUUGGAUGUGGAAGCAUAGUGAUAUGUGAAGCUGACCAAUACUAAUUGCUCGUGAGGCUUGACUAU
rnacentral:rRNA from 1 species